rnacentral:rRNA from 1 species
UACGAAGGGUGCAAGCGUUACUCGGAAUUACUGGGCGUAAAGCGUGCGUAGGUGGUUUUUUUAAGUCCGUUGUGAAAGCCCUGGGCUCAACCUGGGAAUGGCAGUGGAUACUGGAAAGCUAGAGUGCGGUAGAGGGUAGUGGGAAUUCCCGGUGUAGCAGUGAAAUGCGUAGAUAUCGGGAGGAACACCAAUGGCUAAAGCAGGCACCUGGGCCUUUACUGACGCUGAGGCGCGAAAGCUAGGGGAGCAAACAGGGAU